GACGAACGCUGGCGGCGUGCUUAACACAUGCAAGUCGAACGGAAAGGCCCUGCUUUUGUGGGGUGCUCGAGUGGCGAACGGGUGAGUAACACGUGAGUAACCUGCCCUUGACUUUGGGAUAACUUCAGGAAACUGGGGCUAAUACCGGAUAGGAGCUCCUGCUGCAUGGUGGGGGUUGGAAAGUUUCGGCGGUUGGGGAUGGACUCGCGGCUUAUCAGCUUGUUGGUGGGGUAGUGGCUUACCAAGGCUUUGACGGGUAGCCGGCAUGGGAGGGGGGCCGGCCACAUUGGGACUGAGAUACGGCCCAGACUCCUACGGGAGGCAGCAGUGGGGAAUAUUGCACAGUGGGGGGAAGCCUGAUGCAGCAACGCCGCGUGCGGGAUGACGGCCUUCGGGUUGUAAACCGCUUUCGCCUGUGACGAAGCGUGAGUGACGGUAAUGGGUAAAGAAGCACCGGCUAACUACGUG
rnacentral:rRNA from 1 species